AGGGGUAUAGCUCAGGGGUAAAGCACUUGCCUAGCAUGUAAGAGGCCUGGGGUUUGAUUGCCUACACUAUAA
rnacentral:tRNA from 1 species